UUCAUUCUUUUCAUUUCAGUCUUGUAGUUUAGUGAGGCACCAGCAUUACUGGGCAAAGAAGGAGGCUCAAGGCCUGGUAAAACUACAUCUUCCAGGAUUCUAUAGCAUUGAGCCAUGGCAGUCUAAGUACAGUAGAGUCUCACUUAUCCAAUGUAAACGGGCCGGCAGAACGUUGGAUAAGUGAAUAUGUUGGAUAAUAAGGAGAGAUUAAGGAAAAGCCUAUUAAACAUCAAAUUAGGUUAUGAUUUUACAAAUUAAGCACCAAAACAUCAUGUUAUACAACAAAUUGGACAGAAAAAGUAGUUCAAUACGCAGUAAUGCUAUGUAGUAAUUACAGUAUUUACGAAUUUAGCACCAAAAUAUCACGAUGUAUUGAAAACAUUGACUACAAAAAUGCGUUGGAUAAUCCAGAACGUUGGAUAAGCUAGUGUUGGAUAAGUGAGACUCUACUGUAGUGUUAAACCGCACUGAUUAUCCAGCAGAGAUGCACUCUGAGUGUCCAUAGAGAAAUGCCCACGGGGACACCAGAAAUACAUGGCUUUCUGAGCUGUGUCACAACUUACCAGUUGCCGGGGAGAAACCAAGGCAAUUUUAAUGCCUUGAUGAGACUCUUAUGACCAAGGUCCGCAUGGUGCCGGAAAGUGACCGAUGCGCCAAGCCUGGGUCAGUGGGGGGUUGAUGUCUGAGGACAAAUGCUGGGAGGAUCAUUAGCCAGAGUCAUCAGGAGCGAUGGACUCAGCAUGCCACUUCUUUGCCAGUCACCUGCUCCGGAUUGCAUGCCUCGAGGGGCGAAAGUUGAGGAUGGAAAUGCCUUCUAACCAAAUGAAUAUCAUCCAGGGGAAGUUUAAGAUACUACACUUAAGGAGGAAAACAAAUGAAAUGCACAGCUAUAGAAUGGGGGACACUUGGCCUGAAAACAGUCCUUGAGAAAGGAAACUAGGAGUCUUAGCAGACCCCAAGCUAAACAUAAGCUAAGAUGUUUGGGGCCGGGCUGUGGCGCAGGCUGGUAAACAGCUGCUGCAAUAAAUCACUCUGACCAUGAGGUCAUGAUUUCGAGGCCAGCCCGUGGCGGAGUGAGCACCCGUCAAUUAAAAAAAAUAAAAAAUAGCCCCUUCUCGUUGCUGACCUAGCAACCCGAAAGAUAGUUGCAGCUAUCAAGUAGGAAAUAAGGUACCACUUAUAAAAGUGGGAAGGCAAAUUUAACUGGAAUGAGGAAGUGCCGUCACAGUGGAUGAUGAAGCAGCUGCUCCCCCCUGUGGCCAGAAUUGAACAUCCCCUCAGGAGAAGGUUAAAUUGCCUCUGCGUCUGUCUGUCUGUUGUUUCUUUCUCUGUUCAAUGUGUUUAUGGGCAUUGAAUGUUUGCCCUGUAUGUACAUAAUGUGAUCCGCACUGAGUCCCCUUUGGGGUGAGAAAGAAAGGCGGAAUAUAAAUACGGUAAAUAAAUAAAUAAAUAAAUAAAAAUAAGAGCGUGAUGCUGCAGCAAAAAAGGCCAAUGCUAUUCUAAGCCGCAUCAAGAAGAAUCUGGUGUCUAGAUGGAGGGAUGUUAUAGCCUCACUCUCUUCUGCUUUGGUCAAACCCUAUCUGGAAUAAUCCCGUGUCCAUUUCAAAAAGUGAAAUGGAAAAGACGGAAAGGGCCCAGAAAUUGGUCACCAAAAGGUUCAAAGGUCUGGUCAUUAUGGAUCCUGAUAAAGAGCAGCUUAGAAAGCUUGAGAUGUUUAGCUUGGAGAAAAGCAGGUUGAGAGGGGACUCGAGAGCUAUAUUUAAGUACCGUAUAUAUUCAAGUAUAAGCUGACCCGAAUAUAAGCCGAGGUUAGUCAUGUCAGUGCUGACACGCAUGUCAUAGGUGUGCCAUCACUGGCCUACGGUAGGAAGAUGUUGAGGUCUCCUUCUCCUGAAAUCUUCAGAAGUUGGACAGCUCCCUGCUUUGGAGGCUGUAGGUGACCAUCCUGCAUUGAACCUAAUGGGCUUGGACUAGAUGGCCUCUGGGGAGCCCUUCCAACACUCGAUUCCGUUCAUAUUGUUUCCAUUUCCACAAUGGUGCAUUGCCCAGCGUGUCUUUGGCCGCCACCACUCCAUCUGUCAUUCAGCAUCGUGACCACGGCUCUGAGUCCAAAGCCACAAAGGGAACAAUUAAGGAAACAACCAACAAACAAACAAGCAUAGCAGCAAACAAUGAGGCAAUCUUCUAUGCUUGCAAAUGGCGAGAAAGGCACCAAUUAUACUCUGCAUUGGAAGAGGAGGGAAAACCCAUAGAGCUUUCUUCACGCUUCCAGUGCUUUUGCAACAAAAGAGAAACCCUCCAAGGAAGUCAAGAAGUGCUUCCUAAACUUCUUUCACUGUGCGCUUGGCCAUCCAUAUCCUUGCAUUUGCCGUCAAUGGAUUCCAGACACUCACAGUUUGCAAAUAUUAGAGGGAAAAAACCCAAAAGCAAACUUUGAUUUUCCCCCACAUUUUGUAUAAGGUGAAACACUACCAUAGGAUUUGAGCAUCCACAGAUUUCACUAUUCGUGGGGUUUUCUGGACCAAAUCACAGUGGAUACUAAGGAAACCACCGCAAUAAGAAUUCAGUCAUGUUUGCAUCUUUUCAUGGAUUCAUGUUUUGGAAGAAGUUCCUAUAUUCCUAUACCUUUUGCCUUUUUAUAUUUACUUUUCUGAAUAAACUGUUUAGUUAGCA